GGUUAUGUAGCUGGAUGGUAAAGCAACUGCUUUGCAUGUCAGUGGUCCUGUGUUCGAUUCCCAGCAUCCCUA
rnacentral:tRNA from 1 species